UGUCGUCAGCUCGUGUCGUGAGAUGUUGGGUUAAGUCCCGCAACGAGCGCAACCCUGCACUCAGUUGCCAUCGGGUGAAGCCGGGCACUCUGGAAGGACUGCCAUCGACAAGAUGGAGGAAGGUGGGGACGACGUCAAGUCAUCAUGGCCCUUAUGUCCAGGGCGACACACGUGCUACAAUGGCCGGCACAACGGGAAGCGAGUUCGCGAGGACGAGCGGAUCCCUUAAAGCCGGUCGCAGUUCGGAUUGAAGUCUGCAACUCGACUUCAUGAAGCUGGAAUCGCUAGUAAUCGCAGAUCAGCCAAGCUGCGGUGAAUACGUUCCCGGGCCUU
rnacentral:rRNA from 1 species